rnacentral:tRNA from 1 species
AGUCUUAUAUUCAAUAAUGAUAUGAAAUUGCAAAUUUUAAGGUGUAAAUUUAUACUAAG